CAAAUUAAAAAUAACACAAACAAAAUUAACAAAUAAAGUCGAUGUCUGGGAAGUUCGGAGCCAAGUUCUGGGAAGUCGUCUACGCCAAGCACGACAUCAUCUCCACCGACCGAUACAACGGCGACUCCGACCUUCAACUCUAACGCAUCGAUGUCUAAUGUAAUGAAGCGAGCUCUCAGCGCUACGCCCCCGGGCGGUUCUCAUGGAUCUCGAAUCGGGCACCAUGGAUAGCCUCCGAUCCGGCUCGUACGGCCAGAUUUUCAGGCUCGAUGACUUCGUGUUCGGCUAGUCUGGGGUGGGGAACAAUUGGGCUAAAGGGCAUUACACUGAGGUGCUGAAUUGAUCGAUUCGGUUCUCGAUGUUGUUCGUAAAGAAGCCGAGAUUGUGAAUGUCUUCAGGGUAUAAUUCUCAUCUCAGAUUUAUAAUUUUGUGUGUUUUAUGUAUGUAUUGUUGUAGAUCUGUGUUUUUUUAUAUAAAUUUAGUGUGUGUCUAGAUGUGUUUUUUUUUGGGUCAUUUUGUCGAACAUGUGGUAUGCAUAUCAAAGAUCUUUUUUAAAUUAAUAUAUCGAACAGGUGGUAUUCAUUUGAUGCUCUGUUGUUGUGUAUAUUUGUCUUUGGUAUAUAUGGAUAAACUACGUUUGUGUAUAUAUGUACAUGUAUAUUGUAUUUUAUUCCUCUUUAGGCCCGGAGAAUGGUGUGAGAUUAUUCUGGUCAGCUCAUAUGUGAUUAAACUUUAAGUCUUGUGAAGGCAGCAAGACAAACAAAUGAGACGGGAGCUACUGAAAUUGCAAAUAAAGAUAUAGAGAUUGACGCAAAUACUAGCGCUAAGGAUGUUGGAGCUGUGAAGAAGGCUAGUUCUACACGUCGAAAGAAAGUGCGUUCGAUGGUUGAAAUCCUUCAUGUCAAUGAUGAAGAAAAGAGUGGCCAGUUAGCUUCUCACAAUACAACUCCCAAAAAUGGUUCGAGCCUCCAAAGGAGAUGCCACUACAACAAUUGCACAAAUACAUAAAUCUGGAUUAGAUUAUGUUGGUGAAGAAAAAAUCUGUAGAAGUGCUCAAGUGAAAACUUUAGCCUUAUUUUGCUUGAACUUGUAGACUUGGUUAUGUGCUCAUGUUUGAACAAUAGUAAUAGGACUAUAGUAGUGCUUGUUGACUUUUUGGAUUGGUGAAUAUUGGAUUGUAUUUUAAUAUACCAAUUAAAUUUGGUGGUUGUUAAUGAAAUGUGAAGGUCAUGCCAAUUUUUUUUUAAA